GGAGGGCGACUAGGUUAUGGUCCUUUUCACACAGAGAGCGGAAAAUUUACACAGGGGACCGCGUCCAACUAGAGAAUGAAAUGACUACUGAGACCUAGUGGGAAGAACAUGCCUCCUUAUGUUCUGUAUGCCAACGAGUUGAUAAUAUAUAUAUAUUUUUUUUAAAAAAAAAAAGCUGUCCCAUAAGCCAUGGAAUUACUGAAACCCAGUGUCACAGCGGCGUGCAUCCCUUCCCUGCAGCCCCCCUCCCCUGUCCUUUCCCAGCCCUGAGCCCAGUUCUUUUAGGACUGGGCAGCUGGUCCCUGCUGAUCCGAAUGAGAAACUGAGCUGCCCCGCUUUGCCUCGGCUGGGGCAUUAGUAGGGUCUGCCCCUCCGCUCAGACGCCCCCUUUCACAACUCUUCUGAGAUCACAUCUUUGAGGCCUUUUAUCCUUUACUCAGAUUUGUGUGGAAUCGGCUAACCAGCUCAAAAAUUGCUUAUAGAGGACUGAGAGAGUAGGAGCGCAAUCACCCGUGCCUUUUAUCCCUAGGAAAUGAGGCUAAAAUUAGGAACAGAAGCAUCUGAAGGUACUGACGAUACUGACUUACCAGCAGCAAAGCUUUCUGCAGCCACCUGUGGGCUGAAAAAAAACCUCUGCAGACGCCGUUUCAACAGAAACUGAGCACAUGCAACCGUUCCUGGAAUCAGCAGUCAUGUUUGGGGGAGAAGAAAAUCCUCGCUGUGAAGAAGUUUUAAGCUGCUACCAGCUUGCGGUUUGAGAAUUCGUAGCAGGGUGGAGACUUCUCUGGUACUGCUGGAGGAGCAGCAGCUCAGGCUGUCAGAGCGGGUAAGGGAGUGUUCUAGAGGAGCCUCACUAGAAGUCUACCUUUCCCUAGUUGCUUUUUUACAGAGAGGUUCGGUUUUUAUAUAGAGGCGUAUCUCCAGAAAGCUUUACGUGGGGUGGAAAUGAAUAGUGUUCAAAACAUAACAAUUCAUACAACCUUCCACCACAGGGAUCCAGGUAAGAAUUUGUAUUUCUCUUCCAUACCUCAGUAGAGAUGGAAGGCACUGAUAAGCUAUGGAAACCUCAUAUGGAGCAGAAUUUAAAUAUAAAAUGCAGAAAAAUGA